UACGGAAGGCAGCAGUGGGGAAUAUUGCACAAUGGGCGAAAGCCUGAUGCAGCUAUGCCGCGUGUAUGAAGAAGGCCUUAGGGUUGUAAAGUACUUUCAUCGGGGAGGAAAAACAAAACUAAUAAUUUUAUUUCUUGACGUUACCCGAAAAAGAAGCACCGGCUAACUCCGUGCCAGCAGCCGCGGUAAUACGGAGGGUGCUAGCGUUAAUCAGAAUUACUGGGCGUAAAGAGCACGUAGGUGGUUUUUUUAAGUCAGAUGUGAAAUCCCUGGGCUUAACCUGGAACUGCAUUUUGAAACUGAAAUACUAGAGUAUCGUAGAGGGAGGUAGAAUUCUAGGUGUAGCGGUGAAAUGCGUAGAUAUCUGGAGGAAUACCUGUGCGAAAGCGGCCUCCUAAACGAAUACUGACACUGAGGUGCGAAAGCGUGGGGAGCAAACAGGGAUUAGAUACCCGU
rnacentral:rRNA from 1 species